ACGCCUCUGGUGCUGAAGAAGAUUGGAUGAAAUAUAUACUGGUCUCUUUAAUAAUAAUAGAAUUUAAUUUUUUAAUUAAAAAGUUAAAAUAAAUUUAAAAGACGAGAAGACCCCAUAGAGUUUUAUAUAUUUGUUAAUUAAUAUUAUUUAUAAAUUAAUAAAAUUAAAAUUAAUUUGAUAUAUUAUAUUKGGGGGGGGGRAAAAAAAAAUUUACUUUCCUUUUUUUUUAAAUUAACCNAAAUAAGGGGCUUAUAAUGANCCCAAAUUUUUGAUUAUAAGAUAAAAUUCCCNUGGGGAUAACCGCGUAAUUUUUUUUUUUAGUUCGAAUAAAAAAAAAAGUUUGCGACCUCGAUGUUGGAUUAAGAUAAAAUUAAAGC
rnacentral:rRNA from 1 species